GACAGAGGGUGCAAACGUUGUUCGGAGUUACUGGGCGUAAAGCGAGUGUAGGCGGUUUGGUAAGUCGGAUGUGAAAGCCCCGGGCUCAACCCGGGAAGUGCACUCGAUACUGCCAAGCUAGAGUAUCGGAGAGGUUGGUGGAAUUCUCGGUGUAGAGGUGAAAUUCGUAGAUAUCGAGAGGAACACCGGUGGCGAAGGCGGCCAACUGGACGAAUACUGACGCUGAGACUCGAAAGCGUGGGGAGCAAACAGG
rnacentral:rRNA from 1 species